UGGGGAAUAUUGCACAAUGGGCGCAAGCCUGAUGCAGCCAUGCCGCGUGUAUGAAGAAGGCCUUCGGGUUGUAAAGUACUUUCAGUCGGGAGGAAGGUGAUAAGGUUAAUAACCUUAUCAAUUGACGUUACCGACAGAAGAAGCACCGGCUAACUCCGUGCCAGCAGCCGCGGUAAUACGGAGGGUGCAAGCGUUAAUCGGAAUUACUGGGCGUAAAGCGCACGCAGGCGGUCUGUCAAGUCGGAUGUGAAAUCCUCGGGCUCAACCUGGGAACUGCAUCUGAUACUGGCAAGCUUGAGUCUCGUAGAGGGGGGUAGAAUUCCAGGUGUAGCGGUGAAAUGCGUAGAGAUCUGGAGGAAUACCGGUGGCGAAGGCGGCCCCCUGGACGAAGACUGACGCUCAGGUGCGAAAGCGUGGGGAGCAAACAGG
rnacentral:rRNA from 1 species